rnacentral:rRNA from 1 species
AUUGAACGCUGGCGGCAGGCCUAACACAUGCAAGUCGAACGGCAGCACAGAAGAGAUUGCCCUUUGGGUGGCGCGUGGCGGACGGGCGAGUAAUGUCUGGGAAACUGCGCGAUGGAGGGGGAUAACCACUGGAAACGGUAGCUAAUACCGCAUAACGGCGCAAGACACAAGUGGGGGACCUUCGGGCCUCACACCAUCGGAUGUGCCAAGAUGGGAUUAGCUAGUAGGGGGGGUAAUGGCUCACCUAGGCGACAAUCCCUAGCUAGUCUGAGAGGAUGACCAGCAACACGGGAACUGAGACACGGUCCAGACGCCUACGGGAGGCAGCAGUGGGGAAUAUUGCACAAUGGGCGCAAGCCUGAUGCAGCCAUGCCGCGUGUAUGAAGAAGGCCUUCGGGUUGUAAAGUACUUUCAGCGGGGAGGAAGGCGGUGAGGUUAAUAACCUUGCCGAUUGACGUUACCCGCAGAAGAAGCACCGGCUAACUCCGUGCCAGCCGCCGCGGUAA